rnacentral:rRNA from 1 species
AACGAACGCUGGCGGCGUGGAUAAGACAUGCAAGUCGAACGGGACAGACCGAGUAGCAAUAUUUGGAAUGUUCAGUGGCGAACGGGAGCGUAACACGUGGAUAACAUUCCGGAAAGCGGGGAAUAGCCCAGGGAAACUUGGAUUAAUACCGCAUGAGGCCGCACGGCUAAAGACGGGGAACGCAAGGCCUGUCACUUUCCGAUUGGUCCGCGGCCUGUCAGCUAGUUGGCGGGGUCAUGGCCCACCACGGCCACGACGGGUAGCUGGUCCGAGAGGACGAUCGGCCCCACUGGAACUGAGACACGCUGCAGACACCCACGGGUGGCCGCAGUCGAGAAUCUUUCACAAUGGGGGCAACCCUGAUGGAGCGACGCCGCGUGGCGGAUAAGGUCUUCGGAUUGUAAACUCCGGUCAUGCGGGAACAAGGUACUCAGGCUAAUAACCUGAUUGUUUGAUGGUACCGCAAGAGGAAGAGACGGCUAACUCUGUGCCAGCCGCCGCAGUAACAC